GAUGAACGCUGGCGGCGUGCCUAAUACAUGCAAGUCGAGCGAACAGACGAGGAGCUUGCUCCUCUGACGUUAGCGGCGGACGGGUGAGUAACACGUGGAUAACCUACCUAUAAGACUGGGAUAAAUUCGGGAAACCGGAGCUAAUACCGGAUAAUAUAUUGAACCGCAUGGUUCAAUAGUGAAAGACGGUUUUGCUGUCACUUAUAGAUGGAUCCGCGCCGCAUUAGCUAGUUGGUAAGGUAACGGCUUACCAAGGCAACGAUGCGUAGCCGACCUGAGAGGAUGAUCGGCCACACUGGAACUGAGACACGGUCCAGACUCCUACGGGAGGCAGCAGUAGGGAAUCUUCCGCAAUGGGCGAAAGCCUGACGGAGCAACGCCGCGUGAGUGAUGAAGGUCUUCGGAUCGUAAAACUCUGUUAUUAGGGAAGAACAAAUGUGUAAGUAACUAUGCACGUCUUGACGGUACCUAAUCAGAAAGCCACGGCUAACUACGUG
rnacentral:rRNA from 1 species